GCCAGUAUCGCGUAGGUGGUCCGCGCGUCUGCCUGAAGAGCAGAAGGAGACUGUUCGAUUCAGUCUACUGGCA
rnacentral:tRNA from 1 species